GGCACUCCCCUAUCACCAAGAGCACCCGCUCUAACGAUCAGAACUUCUGACCAAACAGAUCCGGCAUAGCC
rnacentral:rRNA from 1 species